rnacentral:rRNA from 1 species
GACGAACGCUGGCGGCGUGCGUAAUACAUGCAAGUCGAGCGCAUCGAUGGGAGCUAGCUCCCUGAGAUUAGCGGCGGACGGGUGAGUAACACGUGGGCAACCUGCCUAUAAGAAUGGGAUAACCUCGGGAACCGGGAGCUAAUACCGGAUACGUUCUAUUCUCGCAAGAGAGAUGGUGGACAGACGGUUUAAGCUGUCCGUUAUCAAUGGGCCCGCAGCGCAUUAGCUAGGUGGUGAGGUAAUGGCUAACCAAGGCGACGAUGCGUAGCCGACCUGAGAGGGUGAUCGGCCAAACUGGGACUGAGACACGGACCAGACUCCUACGGGAGGCAGCAGUAGGGAAUCUUCCGCAAUGGACGAAAGUCUGACGGAGCAACGCCGCGUGAACGAAGAAGGCCUUCGGGUCGUAAAGUUCUGUUGUUAGGGAAGAACAGGUACCAGAGUAACUGCUGGUACCUUGACGGUACCUAACCAGAAAGCCACGGCUAACUACGUGCCAGCAGCCGCAGUAACAC